rnacentral:rRNA from 1 species
UACAGAGGUCCCAAGCGUUGUUCGGAUUUACUGGGCGUAAAGGGUGCGUAGGUGGUUGGGUAAGUUUGAUGUGAAAUCUCCGGGCUUAACCCGGAAAUGGCAUUGAAUACUAUUCGGCUAGAGGUUUGGAGGGGGGACUGGAAUUCUUGGUGUAGCAGUGGAAAUGCGUAGAUAUCAAGAGGAACACCAGUGGCGAAGGCGAGUCCCUGGACAACACCUGACACUGAGGCACGAAAGCUAGGGGGAGCAAACAGG